UGCUCAGCACGCUGCCCGCCGCCCUGGGCUGGAUAUCAUCAUAUACUGUAAGUUCACUAUGAGACACUACAGUAUAGAUGAUGUACUCCCCUGGGCUGCACCCGACCCCGAGAGCUGC
rnacentral:pre_miRNA from 7 species